GACGAACGCUGGCGGCGCGCCUAACACAUGCAAGUCGAACGAGCGAGAGAGAGCUUGCUUUCUCGAGCGAGUGGCGAACGGGUGAGUAACGCGUGAGGAACCUGCCUCAAAGAGGGGGACAACAGUUGGAAACGACUGCUAAUACCGCAUAAGCCCACGACCCGGCAUCGGGUAGAGGGAAAAGGAGCAAUCCGCUUUGAGAUGGCCUCGCGUCCGAUUAGCUAGUUGGUGAGGUAACGGCCCACCAAGGCAACGAUCGGUAGCCGGACUGAGAGGUUGAACGGCCACAUUGGGACUGAGACACGGCCCAGACUCCUACGGGAGGCAGCAGUGGGGAAUAUUGCACAAUGGGGGAAACCCUGAUGCAGCGACGCCGCGUGGAGGAAGAAGGUCUUCGGAUUGUAAACUCCUGUUGUUGAGGAAGAUAAUGACGGUACUCAACAAGGAAGUGACGGCUAAC
rnacentral:rRNA from 1 species